GUGACCGAAGUAGAACGUUAUUCUGUCCGUGCUCAAACAUGAACAAAGUCAUAUCAGCAGUGUUUCUGAUCCAUCCAUCUCACUGUUGUUCCUUUUUUUUGCUCUUUUUCAGGACGUCAGUAAAGACUGCGAGGUCACCUGCAUGCCCACUUUCCACUUUUACCAAAAUGGAAAGAAGGUGGACGAGUUCUCCGGCGCUAACAUGGAUACGCUGCUUGCAAAACUGGAUGCUUUGAGAACAUGAAAUCCCGCCGACCAAUCCGCUGUCCCUCAUCGUAUCAACACCACCGCCUCCCUCUGUACAUGUAUAAGAAACUCCAGUUACUAGUCAUGUAACCAUCACAUCUCUCAUUCCACACAGGCUGCGAUCAUUACUUCCACUCAUCACGUGUUGGUGACGUACUCUUCGUCCUGUUCAGUGUGCGUCUUGACUGGCUGAAAUUAGGAUUAAAACCCGAUGACAACUUUUAAUUCUGUUUUUCUAUGAGUGAUUGGCUUUGCUCCCGACUCCCUCGUACGUUGUGUUCAAGGUGGAUUUAAUAAAUGAUGAGUUACUGGAA